rnacentral:rRNA from 1 species
UACGGAGGGUCCGGGCGUUAUCCGGAUUUAUUGGGUUUAAAGGGAGCGCAGGCGGCCUUUUAAGCGUGUUAUGAAAACCAGUCGCUCAACGACUGGAUUGCAGCGCGAACUGAAUGGCUUGAGUACGGACGAGGCAGGCGGAAUUCGUGGUGUAGCGGUGAAAUGCUUAGAUAUCACGAAGAACCCCGAUUGCGUAGGCAGCCUGCCAGGCCGUUACUGACGCUAAGGCUCGAAAGUGCGGGUAGCGAACAGG